UUGAAUUGUGAAAGGCUAAAUGAUGCAUGUUGAAAUUUAACAGUCCUAGUUUAUAUUUUGAAUUUAUCGUUUGCCUUGCUUAAGGCAUGAAUUGAUUUGCUAGCAUGCUUAGUAGUUGAGAAUUUUAGGAAGGCCGAAGGCCGUUUAUGUGAAUUGCAUGAAAUUAUAUUGUGCAUGCUGCCCGUUGGGAAUAUUAAAUGUAUUUUUAUGCAGGUUGAAAUUUUGGGAAAUGGCCAAGUUAUAGGGGAGACUUUGCCGAAAUUUCGACAGAAAGUCUCGAUCUUUAUUAAGUGGGCCCGGCAUCGGGGUGAUGUCGGGAAUUUUCCACAAGGUUCGUCUCGAGUUUUGGUAAAUUCGGGGCGGGUCCUUUCAAAAAAUAAAAAAAGAAUUUCACACAGAUAAAAUAAAAACAAAAUUUUAGAUUUAGGGAUAAACCCCUUCUUCCUCUUUGAAUAACCCUAGAAAUUCAGCAGUCCUUCUAUUGAAAAAUUGAAGAAAUUCAACAAUCCUUCUAUUUAAUAUGAAUCAUAUUCUAAUUUUUCUUAUGAAUUUUCUUUGUGCUUUUUCUUUUCCUCCAUUUUUUGAUGUACAAAGGAGAGGUCAUAUUGACACAUCUGGAUGCCAUAAGAAAUAGAAUUCAUAUUUGUACAUCAAUCUCUAAACAAUUGCAAUCUCUCCAUCUGAUAAGUAUAUAUCUGUUGAGGUCCAAAAUGUCACAAGAAGCCUAAUAUAAAAAUAAGCAAAUAAUACACUUUUCUAUGCGAAACUACCCGACAAGCUUAAGUGGGCUUAAGCCACAUACAUGCAUGGGGCUUGCUAAGCGAGUAGUGGUGUGGAUAGUUACAAGGAUUGAUGAGGCCCAUCAAAAGGUUCAAGAAAUAUAAGUUUUGGGCUGCUUGGGAGUGCCAAAAACCUAAGCCCAUUUCUAGUAGGGAACAUGAUUCCUCAGCAUUUAUUACCCGAUCUCCAAUUUUCUACCUUACAGUACCAGAGCCAUUGCAAGUCUUGCUUCAAUAGCGACCAUUGCCCAACUCCCAAUUUUCUACCUUCUUGUAAUCUUCAUUCUAUAAUGAAUUUGUAUUGGACUAAGGAGCCUCGUGAAUUUUCCCCAGAGGUGAGGUUUUAUCACGUAAAAUAAUUCUCUGCGUGCUCCUUUAUUUUAUGUUCAGCACGUUUCAGGAUUGAUAAGCCAAAUCAAUCCUAGUAUCGACGUUUAUUGAUUGUAAUUUUUAAUUAGCUUAUUC
rnacentral:lncRNA from 1 species